rnacentral:lncRNA from 1 species
GAUUCGUAGUGGCCCCAAAGGAGCACGCAGAACCUCGGCUGCUGUGCAUUUAUCACCUCUUUUGUUCCCGGAGGCCGCACCCCAGGUCCAGUUUACACAGCUGCCAACUCCUUUUCUUGGUUCCCACUGGAAUCUAGGAAGAAAACUCGCCCUUUACUUCUCCGCCCCACACCCGACGACGGAGUGUCUAGAGAAUUGAGCAUACCACAAAAAAGUUCUCAUUUUGUGUCCUCCCAUCCCAUUCUCCUCACUAACCAAAGGCUAGGAAUUAUCUGUGAAUGUAGGACCACUGGAUUUGCAGUCUUCAUCUGACACUGUGGAGAGUUUCUAGGAAUGAAACAGAUAUAUGGCCUUGGGUCCCCUUUUUUUUUCUUUUUUUUUUUUUUAAUAGAGACGAGCAUCUCACUAUGUUGCCUAGGGUAGUCUUGAACUCCUGGCCUCAAGCAAUCCCCACCCGACUCCGCCUCUCGAAGUGAUGGGAUUACAGGCAUAAACCACCACGCCUGGCCAGAAGGUGCUUUAACACCAAAUCUGAAAAUUGUUCAGAAGAGAAACAUUGAGCAUGAACACCAUCUGUGCGAGUCAUUUACUUAUUGCCCCUCACCUCUAAAUCUACCUUCUGUACUCUUCUUCCCUGUAAUGAUGGGGCUAGUUGUCCUCAAACUGUUUCUCAGACUUCUUUUUAAGCUUGCUUCCUGUUCAGUUCUGCCAAUAGGGGUCACUAGAGAGAGACUGGGAGGCAGAAGGAGAGAAUAUGCUUCCUGUUUUUUCUGUUCUUGUUAAUGUUGCUUACAGGACCAGCAAUGCUUCUUCACCUAGAGACACUUCUCCCAGCAGUGGCAGUGCCACUUCAGCUUCUUUCAGCACUACUGGAAUCAGCCUCAGUGAUUCCCCCUGUACCCGCUCAGAGAUUAUCCACAGCAGCCAGAUGGUUCUACCUUCCACAAAGAUUGUGGUUGCAAUUCUGGGCUUCUAAGUUCUGGUUACUUCAUAUUUUUCCUUUUGUUCCUCCAGCCCUAGAGGUGGUAGCUGCUUUCUGAAGUUAUUAUUUCUAGAUGACUUUUGGUUUUUCAGCCUUUGUAUUUUGCUUUUCAGCCCUCUAAUGCCUGUAUAACCAAUUUCCCUGUAAUAAAUAAAUUUCCUCC